rnacentral:rRNA from 1 species
UAACGACUCUCGGCAACGGAUAUCUCGGCUCUCGCAUCGAUGAAGAACGUAGCGAAAUGCGAUACUUGGUGUGAAUUGCAGAAUCCCGUGAACCAUCGAGUCUUUGAACGCAAGUUGCGCCCGACGCCUUCCGGCCGAGGGCACGCCUGCCUGGGCGUCACGC